rnacentral:lncRNA from 1 species
UAAAAUACAAAAAGAAACAGAGUUAACCUACACUACAUCUAUUUCAUUAACAUCUAUUGAACUAUAGGCAACAUAUAACAUUCAAAUAAGCAUGGAUCCAUUAAACUUUUCCAUUUCAACUUCAAUUCAAAGCUACAUCAAGAUGAUUUGACGAAGUGUACCUGGAAAUGCAAGUAACAAAGGAGAAAUUAAUGAUCUGCAACAAAGAGUAUAGUAGCAGCAGCUACAACUAGUGUCUAGCAACCAGAUGACCAAAUAAACCCUGAGUGUUUUUGAAAACCCAAACAGGCCCAACUCAGACUGAAAUGUCCUCUAAACAACCCAGAACAAUCUCAACAAUCAAUUAUAACUCGAUUCAAGCAGCAACUAUCGGAACCGAACACCAAAUACUCAACAAAAACUUGAACUUAAACAAAGAUCUUAAUGGAACAGUAACUACCAUUUUUGAAUACUGUUUACUUCUUUUUCUUUCUGAAAUUGAGAUGGUCUUCUUCAAUUUGGACACCUGGAAAAGUG